GUGAGGAAUAUUGGUCAAUGGCCGAGAGGCUGAACCAGCCAAGUCGCGUGAAGGAAGAAGGAUCUAUGGUUUGUAAACUUCUUUUAUAGGGGAAUAAAGUGGAGGACGUGUCCUUUUUUGUAUGUACCCUAUGAAUAAGCAUCGGCUAACUCCGUGCCAGCAGCCGCGGUAAUACGGAGGAUGCGAGCGUUAUCCGGAUUUAUUGGGUUUAAAGGGUGCGUAGGUGGUGAUUUAAGUCAGCGGUGAAAGUUUGUGGCUCAACCAUAAAAUUGCCGUUGAAACUGGGUUACUUGAGUGUGUUUGAGGUAGGCGGAAUGCGUGGUGUAGCGGUGAAAUGCAUAGAUAUCACGCAGAACUCCGAUUGCGAAGGCAGCUUACUAAACCAUAACUGACACUGAAGCACGAAAGCGUGGGGAUCAAACAGGAUUAGAAACCCUAGUAGUCC
rnacentral:rRNA from 1 species